rnacentral:rRNA from 1 species
GAUGAACGCUGGCGGCGUGCCUAAUACAUGCAAGUCGAGCGAACGGACGAGAAGCUUGCUUCUCUGAUGUUAGCGGCGGACGGGUGAGUAACACGUGGAUCACCUACCUAUAAGACUGGGAUAACUUCGGGAAACCGGAGCUUAUACCGGAUGAUCUUUUGAACCGCAUGGUUCAAAAGUGAAAGACGGUCUUGCUGUCACUUAUAGAUGGAUCCGCGCUGCAUUAGCUAGUUGGUAAGGUAACGGCUUACCAAGGCAACGAUGCAUAGCCGACCUGAGAGGGUGAUCGGCCACACUGGAACUGAGACACGGUCCAGACUCCUACGGGAGGCAGCAGUAGGGAAUCUUCCGCAAUGGGCGAAAGCCUGACGGAGCAACGCCGCGUGAGUGAUGAAGGUCUUCGGAUCGUAAAACUCUGUUAUUAGGGAAGAACAUAUGUGUAAGUAACUGUGCACAUCUUGACGGUACCUAAUCAGAAAGCCACGGCUAACUACGUG